UUUGACAGAAAUGCUCAUCUGUCUGCAGUUUCAUUUGCUGUCUGUUGAGCAAAGAUGAUGCUUCACUGCUGUCUGCUGGUGUUGUCAGUAACACAAUAUACACUGGCACAGUCAAUAAGACCACUGCAAGGCGAUGUUCAUAUCACGGAGAGGACUCCAGUCAGGCUCUCAUGCAAAUAUGAUGGCAGUGCAUACAGUCUGCAUUGGUAUCGACAGUAUCCAGGAGCAAAACCUGAAUUUCUGCUUCUUGUAAGGGAAUCAGCUAAAAAAUCUGUAACAUAUGCAGAUCCUAAAAUCCCCGGAAUGGAUGGAGAAAUGAGCAUGAGUGAAAAACAAGUGGAUCUGGAGAUCUUCUCUGCCGCAGUAUCAGACUCUGCUGUGUAUUAUUGUGCCCUGGAGCCCACAGUGACAGGAAACACACAAACACUGUACAAAAACCUCUAUCAAGAGAAAAAAAACACCCUGUCUGUUCAUUACUUCCGCAUGUUUUCUGAUUGCAGAUUUAAUGAUAUGAAAAUGUGAGUUAAUGUGAAAUAAUGCACAAGUAAAGAUGUCAACAAAACAAGCAAAUCAAACUUACAAAUGAAUCUGAAUGAAUUGUUACCUAAAAUCUUGCCCCGCAAACUCAUAAGACAAAUGUUACUGUAUUUACCUUCUUAAUCUUACAUUUAUUUAAAUAGCCCUAUGGUGUAGCAAUUUACUUUUAAACAUACAAAUACCGGCUUAACAUAAUGAUUUUAUAAACGCUGCACAUACCAUUUUAAUAUACCACUUUAUAAAUAGAGUACAUCCUAAUUAUUAUACAUUUAUUUAUGAUAUUUUAAAUUAUAAACUGAAAUGUGACCUGUGGUGGGACCUGCCUGCUCUAGUAUUUUAUGAUGAUUACCCAUUAAAAAUUCCAUUAUGAAAAUGUGAUUUUUAUUGCUAAAGAUUCAGUUGAAAUAAAGUUAAACAAAACAGUAGAUUUUGUGCUCAAGAUUUUUUUGUGCAAACCGUUUGCCUACA